rfam:Aedes albopictus isolate Foshan contig46424, whole genome shotgun sequence.
GUUAAAGAUCAUACCAUACUGAAAACAUCAGUUUUCGUCCGAUCACUGAAGUAAAACAACAUCGGGCACGAUAAUUACUUAGCUGGAUGGUGAUUCAACAGGGGACUCUGUUCCGUAUUUGCCU